rnacentral:rRNA from 1 species
ACACGCAUGACACACUGCAUAUCAAUAAGCGGAGGAAAAGAAACUAACAAGGAUUCCCUUAGUAACGGCGAGUGAAGCGGGAAGAGCUCAAAUUUGAAAUCUUCAAGGUUCUACCUUGACGAAUUGUAGUUUAUAGAAGUGUUUUCUGUUAGUGGAGUGGCAAAAGUUCUUUGGAAUAGGACAUCAUAGAGGGUGAGAAUCCCGUAUUUGGUCAUUCCUCCUAGCGUUGUGAUACACUUUCAACGAGUCGGAUUGUUUGGGAAUGCAGUCCAAAAUGGGUGGUAAAUUUCAUCUAAAGCUAAAUAUUGGCGAGAGACCGAUAGCGAACAAGUACCGUGAGGGAAAGAUGAAAAGAACUUUGAAAAGAGAGUUAAACAGUACGUGAAAUUGUCAAAAGGGAAGCGUUUGACACCAGUGUUGUUAGUUGAAAAUCAAUUACGAAUGUUUUAUUUUUGAGGAGUUAUGACUUCAUCGGCUUGCUUCCUUUCUUUAUCGAAACUUUCUUAAUGCACUUUUCGGUUAACAAGUCAACAUCAAUUUCCUUUUGUUGUAAAAGGGUAUGAGGAAGGUGGCUUUCUUUUCGGAGAAAGUGUUUAUAGCCUUGUACCUCUGCAAUCGGAGAGAUUGAGGUCUGCAGCGUAGAUCCUUCGGGGUUAGAUACAUUUGUGCUAAGUUAUAGCUUUUCAUAGACAACUUGUUGACUAUGUUUAGUCUUGUAGCUUACUCGCUUAUGCUAUUUUACCUACGCUUAGGAUGUUGACGAGACUGUCGAUCUC